CGGGCGGGGAUUAGUGGCGAACGGCCUGAGUAACACGGUGGGCAAUCUGCCCUGCACUCUGGGACAAGCCCUGGAAACGGGGUCUAAUACCGGAUAUGACCGUCUGCCGCAUGGUGGAUGGUGUAAAGCUCCGGCGGUGCAGGAUGAGCCCGCGGCCUAUCAGCUUGUUGGUGAGGUAGUGGCUCACCAAGGCGACGACGGGUAGCCGGCCUGAGAGGGCGACCGGCCACACUGGGACUGAGACACGGCCCAGACUCCUACGGGAGGCAGCAGUGGGGAAUAUUGCACAAUGGGCGAAAGCCUGAUGCAGCGACGCCGCGUGAGGGAUGACGGCCUUCGGGUUGUAAACCUCUUUCAGCAGGGAAGAAGCGAAAGUGACGGUACCUGCAGAAGAAGCGCCGGCUAACUACGUGCCAGCAGCCGCGGUAAUACGUAGGGCGCAAGCGUUGUCCGGAAUUAUUGGGCGUAAAGAGCUCGUAGGCGGCUUGUCACGUCGGUUGUGAAAGCCCGGGGCUUAACCCCGGGUCUGCAGUCGAUACGGGCAGGCUAGAGUUCGGUAGGGGAGAUCGGAAUUCCUGGUGUAGCGGUGAAAUGCGCAGAUAUCAGGAGGAACACCGGUGGCGAAGGCGGAUCUCUGGGCCGAUACUGACGCUGAGGAGCGAAAGCGUGGGGAGCGAACAGGAUUAGAUACCCUGGUAGUCCACGCCGUAAACGGUGGGCACUAGGUGUGGGCAACAUUCCACGUUGUCCGUGCCGCAGCUAACGCAUUAAGUGCCCCGCCUGGGGAGUACGGCCGCAAGGCUAAAACUCAAAGGA
rnacentral:rRNA from 1 species